AGUAAAUAUUAAUUAUGAAAGCAAAAAAUUAUGGCGGUAUUUUAAGCUUUUCAGAGGAAUUUGCUCUUUAAUGGAUAAAACACCUAAAUCUUACUUAAAUUUGUCAAUUCAAUUUGUAUACCACUAUGUAAUUAAUUAUUAACUUUAAUUAAUAAAAUUUAUAAAAAUUAAAAAAAAUUAAGUCAAGGUGCAGUAAAAAUUUAAGGAUGAAGUGAAUUACAUUUCUUUUAAGAGAUUAUAAAUUUUAAAAUUAGUUUUAGGAUUUGAAAGUAAAAUUAAAAUAAAAUGUUAAUUUGAAUCAAGCUCUAAAAUAUGUACAUA
rnacentral:rRNA from 1 species